rnacentral:rRNA from 1 species
GGGAAUCUACCUUUUGCUACGGAAUAACUCAGGGAAACUUGUGCUAAUACCGUAUGUGUCCUUCGGGAGAAAGAUUUAUCGGCAAAGGAUGAGCCCGCGUUGGAUUAGCUAGUUGGUGGGGUAAAGGCCCACCAAGGCGACGAUCCAUAGCUGGUCUGAGAGGAUGAUCAGCCACACUGGGACUGAGACACGGCCCAGACUCCUACGGGAGGCAGCAGUGGGGAAUAUUGGACAAUGGGCGCAAGCCUGAUCCAGCCAUGCCGCGUGAGUGAUGAAGGCCCUAGGGUUGUAAAGCUCUUUCACCGGUGAAGAUAAUGACGGUAACCGGAGAAGAAGCCCCGGCUAACUUCGUGCCAGCAGCCGCGGUAAUACGAAGGGGGCUAGCGUUGUUCGGAUUUACUGGGCGUAAAGCGCACGUAGGCGGACUUUUAAGUCAGGGGUGAAAUCCCAGAGCUCAACUCUGGAACUGCCUUUGAUACUGGAAGUCUUGAGUAUGGUAGAGGUGAGUGGAAUUCCGAGU